GUGAACUUUCGGAGCAAGGUUUGGGUUUAUUUCGGAAAAGGUUGCUGCUAGACUUUUGAUCGGGUUUGGGAGGAAGCUUUCAAUAGUGCUCAAUUUCCUUAGAUGUGGAUUGCUUUGGCUUAUAGUCUCACAAAAGAUUGAUGCUUUGCCUUUAUGGGUGUUAACCUGAAGGUGGAUUAGCUUUUGGUUGGCUUGGAGGAGCAGUGCAUCUCCCUUGCAUGUCCACUACCCUUCGAAUUGUAUUGCUCUCUGCUUUAUCUAGCGAUUGCAGCAUUCUUGAUUUGGAACUGUUC
rnacentral:lncRNA from 1 species